CCUACGGGAGGCAGCAGUGGGGAAUAUUGCACAAUGGGGGAAACCCUGAUGCAGCGACGCCGCGUGAGUGAAGAAGUAAUUCGUUACGUAAAGCUCUAUCAGCAGGGAAGAAACACUGACCUUACGUUCAGCAGACGGUACCUGAGUAAGAAGCCCCGGCUAACUACUUGCCAGCAGCCGCGGUACGACGUAGGGGGCAAGCGUUAUCCGGAUUUACUGGGUGUAAAGGGUGCGUAGGCGGUGCGCCGAGUCUGGAGUGAAAUGCCGCAGCUUAACUGCGGAACUGGUUUGGAAACUGGCGAACCAGAGUGCGGGAGGGGUAAGCGGAAUUCCUAGUG
rnacentral:rRNA from 1 species